GAUGAACGCUGGCGGUGUGCCUAAUACAUGCAAGUCGAGCGAACAGACGAGGAGCUUACUCCUCUGACGUUAGCGGCGGACGGGUGAGUAACACGUGGAUAACCUACCUAUAAGACUGGGAUAACUUCGGGAAACCGGAGCUAAUACCGGAUAACAUGUUGAACCGCAUGGUUCAACAGUGAAAGACGGUCUUGCUGUCACUUAUAGAUGGAUCCGCGUCGCAUUAGCUAGUUGGUAAGGUAACGGCUUACCAAGGCAACGAUGCGUAGCCGACCUGAGAGGGUGAUCGGCCACACUGGAACUGAGACACGGUCCAGACUCCUACGGGAGGCAGCAGUAGGGAAUCUUCCGCAAUGGGCGAAAGCCUGACGGAGCAACGCCGCGUGAGUGAAGAAGGUCUUCGGAUCGUAAAGCUCUGUUAUUAGGGAAGAACAAAUGUGUAAGUAACUAUGCACGUCUUGACGGUACCUAAUCAGAAAGCAACGGCUAACUACGUG
rnacentral:rRNA from 1 species